rnacentral:tRNA from 1 species
GCCUGGGUGGCUCAUCUGGUUGAGCAUCUGACUUUGGCUCAGGUCAUGAUCUCACGGUUCGUGAGUUCGAGCCCCACAUCGGGCU